UAUUUUGUUGGUUUUUAGAAUCGCCGUAAUGAUUUAUAGGGAUAGUUGGGGGCAUUGGUAUUGAGUCGCUAGAGGUGAAAUUUUUGGAUUGACUCAAGACCAAAUAUUGCGAAAGCAUUUGCCAAGGAUGUUUUCAUUAAUCAAGAAAGAAGGUUAGGGGAUUGAAAAAGAUCAGAUACCGUUGUAGUUUUAACAGUAAAAUAUGCCGACUAGGGAUCGGGGGACCUCAAAUUUGAUGUAUCGCUUGGCCCCUUACGAGAAAUCAAAGUUUUUGGGUUUUGGGGGGAGUAUGGUUGCAAGGCUGAAACUUAAAGGAAUUGACGGAAGGGCCCCCCCCGGUGUGGAGCCUGCGGCUUAAUUUGACUCAACCCGGGGAAACUCACCAGGUCCAGACAUAACUAGGAUUGACAGAUUGAUAGCUUUUUCAUGAUUUUAUGGGUGGUGGUGCAUGGCCGUUUUUAGUUGGUGGAGUGAUUUGUUUGGUUAAUUUCGAUAACGAACGAGACCUUAACCUGCUAAAUAGCCAGGCCGGCCUUGGCUGGUUGCCGGCUUUUUAGAGGGACUGUCAGUGUUUAACUGACGGAAGUUUGAGGCAAUAACAGGUUUGUGAUGCCCUUAGAUGUUUUGGGCCGCACGCGCGGUACACUGACAGAGCCAGCGAGUUUUUUUCCUUGGCCGGAAGGUCUGGGUAAUCUUGUGAAACUCUGUCGUGCUGGGGAUAGAGCAUUGCAAU
rnacentral:rRNA from 1 species